ensembl:snRNA U2 U2 spliceosomal RNA
AUUGCUUCUUAGCCUUUUGGCUAAGAUCAAGUGUAGGCUAUGUCUUUUCAAAUGGCACAUUAGGUGAGCUUUUAAAAUCAUUUAAAUGUCAAUUUUU